AAAGGAAUAGACGGGGGCCCGCACAAGCAGUGGAGUAUGUGGUUUAAUUCGAAGCAACGCGAAGAACCUUACCAAGCCUUGACAUCUCCUGCAUAGCCUAGAGAUAGGUGAAAUCCUUCGGGACAGGAAGACAGGUGGUGCAUGGUUGUCGUCAGCUCGUGUCGUGAGAUGUUGGGUUAAGUCCCGCAACGAGCGCAACCCUUGCAGAUAGUUACUACGAGAAGAGGACUCUAUCAGGACUGCCGUUGACAAAACGGAGGAAGGUGGGGAUGACGUCAAAUCAUCAUGCCCUUUAUGGCUUGGGCUACACACGUACUACAAUGGCCGCAAACAGAGGGGACCGAAGGGGCAACCCGGAGGGAAUCCGAGAAAGGCGGUCUCAGUUCGGAUUAGAGGCUGCAACUCGCCUCUAUGAAGUCGGAAUUGCUAGUAAUCGCGGAUCAGCACGCCGCGGUGAAUACGUUCCCGGGCCUUGUACACACCGCCCGU
rnacentral:rRNA from 1 species